rfam:Canis lupus familiaris chromosome X, whole genome shotgun sequence.
CCAAAGGCUCUUUUCAGAGCUACCUCAUUUGGUGAGAAAAGACCUGU